rnacentral:tRNA from 1 species
GGAUAGACCAGCCGAAUGAUGGCGGCGGCAACUGUCUUGAAAACAGUCUGCGGGUGUAAAAAGCUCGCGUGCGAGUUCGAACCUCGCUCUAUCCGC